UACGUAGGGGGCAAGCGUUGUCCGGAAUCAUUGGGCGUAAAGCGCGCGUAGGCGGCCCGGUAAGUCCGCUGUAAAAGUCCAGGGCUCAACCCUCGAAUGCCGGUGGAUACUGUCGGGCUAGAGUGCGGAAGAGGCGAGUGGAAUUCCUGGUGUAGCGGUGAAAUGCGCAGAUAUCAGGAGGAACACUAAUUGCGAAGGCAGCUCGCUGGGACGUAACUGACGCUGAGACGCGAAAGCGUGGGGAGCAAACAGG
rnacentral:rRNA from 1 species